rnacentral:rRNA from 1 species
UCUACCGCGUACUUAGCUCCCUUUAGCGAAGCCUGACGCAGCGACGCCGCGUGAGGGACGAAGGCCUUCGGGUCGUAAACCUCUUUCAGCAGGGAAGAAGCGAAAGUGACGGUACCUGCAGAAGAAGCACCGGCUAACUACGUGCCAGCAGCCGCGGUAAUACGUAGGGUGCAAGCGUUGUCCGGAAUUAUUGGGCGUAAAGAGCUCGUAGGCGGCUUGUCACGUCUGCUGUGAAAACUCGGGGCUCAACCCCGAGCCUGCAGUGGAUACGGGCUAGCUAGAGUGCGGUAGGGGAGACUGGAAUUCCUGGUGUAGCGGUGAAAUGCGCAGAUAUCAGGAGGAACACCGGUGGCGAAGGCGGGUCUCUGGACCGAUACUGACGCUGAGGAGCGAAAGCGUGGGGAGCGAACAGGAUUAGAUACCCUGGUAGUCCACGCCGUAAACGUUGGGCGCUAGGUGUGGGGAACUUUCCACGUUCUCCGUGCCGCAGCUAACGCAUUAAGCGCCCCGCCUGGGGAGUACGGCCG